UGACGACGAGCGCAGGGUGACAGGGGGCGGGCGUCCAGUGGCUCGUUCAAAAGGGCCUUGGCAACAGGCUCGAUGUCAGGGGGAGGAGGCUCUCCUGGCGCCUCCCGAGAACCGCUAGGCAGAGGGGGAGGGAACGCGCCCUCCGGAGCAACUUCCAACGGCUCCUCAUCUUGGUCUGGGGGUGGGGCACGCUCUUCUUCAGAGAGAGCGCCAUCCGUGGGAACUGACCCUGGCUCCAACUCACUCCCACAUCCCCUAUCCUGCGGAGACUCAACAACUCCUGGAUCUACUGCUCCUUCUGACAGCUGGGGACCCUGAAACUCAUGCCUUCCCCCUUCCUGGGCCCUGCAGAGGAGCUGAGGCCCAACAUGGGAAUAUAAGGAAGGUGAAGACACAGCCAAGCAAAGGCAGAAGUGGGCAGAAGAAGAUCCCAAUCCAGAUGACUGUUUGACCUGCUACAAUAUCCAGCACAUUAUGGGGCACCAGGAACUCUUCUUUGCCAAGCCACUGAACGAGUGAGCAGGAGGAAUGCUUAGUGAGCAGCCUGGGACAGAGAGAGGAAGCAUUUAGAGGUGAGCAUAGCACCUCCUACCAACAGCUGCAGCUGGAUGUCUUGCCACUGCCUAAGCCUAUAUCGUAAGUAGCCCACCGCAAGACAUUGGAUUCUGCCUCUUUCUCCUUCUGCUCUUGUCCUUCUUUACAAAAUCACUCUGCAAUCACAAUGACAACCACCCUGAGACUAUGCCAGCUUGCAUCACGACAAGGAAGCAGAAAGGUGAGAUGAAUACCUCCUAAUUAACUACAAUGUGUGUGUUACCCUCUUAGAAGAAACAGCAAAAACUUCUGUUACAUCAUAUUGUAAAUUUUAUUUGCAAAAUCAAUAAAACAUUAUAUGCAAAAAGAUAAAUACCUCCUACAUCAGGAGUAGCCAACGUCAUGCCUUACAGAUGUUGUUGGACUCCCAUCAGCCCUAGCCAGUCUAACCAGUGGUCAGCAGUGAGCGCUUUAGUCCAACAACAUUUGGAGGGCAUCAUGUUGGCUAUUCCUGUCCUGCCUCAAAAGGAAGAAAUGACCCAUUUAUGAAAGAAAAGACCACCUGCCUUAACCUGGAUUAGGCCAAGAAUCCAGAAACCUAGGGUGGAAGGGUAGACUGGUACUGAUUAUGAACUGUUGCCUUACCUCCGGAGCGGGCUGAUAAGGAAGGCAGAUGCCAAGGUGGUCAAGAAACUGAAGAGGGUCAUCUUGUACAUCUCUUGUCCUAUAUGAGUUUCCCAGCACUGUAUGCACAAUCAGGACAAAGAGAAUGCCUCACGAGUAUGUGGAAGCAAACAAGAAAAGAAAAAAGGAAUCCUUCUUCUAGACAUGCUGUUCUGUUUCAAACACAUUAUUAUAGGCAUAGCAUCGUGCAUGGACUUAAAUGUAAAAAUCAGAGUUCACGUUAAGCACGUGCAAUAUAAUGUUACAGGUAAUAGAAAGUAUGGUGAAUAUCAAUACUUGACUAAAUUGAAAGUUUGUAAUACAUUAAAAACCCAGAAUCAGGCAGAAGUUAAUUGCCAACAAUCAGCCAUGUUUUCUUCAUUGCUAGAAUUAGGGUCAAACAAGAUACGUGUGUGGGAAGGGAGUUGGAAUAAACAAAACAAGUGAAAAAUGAGACAUCAACACAAAGACAAAAGAAAGACACCAGAGAAAAGCAAUGCUGAAAGAUGUCUGAGCUGUCAAAGAGCCAUUGCUAGAAAUCUAAAGCCAAGGUAACUAGCUGGAUGCUCAAUGGUCCAGUAAAGCUUGUCACUGCAUCAAGGCCCGCUAGUUGUCUGGCACAUAGACUGGUGAACAGAUACCUUGCUUUAGAAUACAUUAGAAUAGCUGAACACAUUCUGGCUUGGCCACAUUUGCUCUACACAGGAAAAGUUCAUUUGGAAUAUCCCAUCCAUCACAAGUCACCUGAUAGAGUUUGUUGUAACCACACUGCUGGCACUGAAGAGCACUCCUAUUCCCUAUGCACAGCACUCUACGGCCCAAGAAGAACAGGAACAUUCCCAAGCUGGACAAUUUCAGAAUUACACACCUGCAAGAGACCACAAGAGAGGAGAUUCUUGGUCUGCAUCUUACACUUGGGUUCCACAAUUCUGCCCUACAACAUCCACCGUACAGGGGAGCCUUCCAGAGCUGGAAGAUCCUGACAAGGUUCCAAAUUCCUUCUUGAAGCUGUUUGUGGGCCCAGGAUUGUCUUUUUCUCCAGGCUACCCAGCUGGACACAUCUCUCCCAGCAGAUGCUCUCAGCUGCCUGCUUAAGGUACAUGUGAUUGAGUUUAGAUUGGGCCUUCUGAAUCUAUGAGGCUUUAAAGGAUGCAGUCAGGAGAGUACCACACAUUCCAGCCCAUUGAAUAUUUCCAUUGAAUAUUUCCACUCAGUUGCCCCAAACAAGGACAAAGUCUCUCUCUCUCUCGCUCUCAACACUCCACUAUCCUAGUCAGCAGGUCUCUCCCCCAUUAGGCUUCAUCUUAUUGCCCUGUAUUUCUGUGAUGCUCCUGUGCUGUAUAGGAACCUGUUACAGCAAGGGGGAAAAGCUUUUUCAGCUCAAGGGCCACAUUCCCGCAUGGGCAGCCUUCCAAACAACUGCAUGCUAUUGGUGGGCGGGACUAAGGGCAAAAGUGAGGGACCAAUGGCUGCGACUCUUAUCUUUGAACAGCAACAGUAGGCUAGGUUCCAGCUACGCAAAAGCCCGAGCUUUCUAGACCACCAAUCCUCAUAUCUCUCCAUCAGGCAGGCACCCAGGCAAGCAAGAGGCAUUAUCACAGUUCAAGGACAGUUCAAGCACAUGACGGUUAGGCAAAAGCUAGUGUGCCCUGGGAAGAUUCCUGAAGGCCAGACAGAGAGAUCCCUGGAGGGCUGCAUUCUGUCCGUGGGCUGGAGGGACCCCCCCCCCCGUGCUACAACACAAGGGGUGGAUUAAAACGGCUCCAGAUGAUAAGAUACACAGACCUUACCUAGGUGGGUUACAAGUAUCUAUCUAUAGUGGAAACAAAACCAGCCUUUUUUGCCAGCCUAUACUGUAGCAGGAACGAGUGGCUUUUCCUGCCAAAUAUUGUUCACCCUGUACUGUGUGCUUCAUUGGCACACUUAAUUAUAAUUCAAAUGUACAACACUAAUGAUGUUUUCCCAUAUGACCUCAUCCUGGACCUGAGGAGACGUUUCUCCUUCAUGGAGCAGGGCAAGGCCCUGAGCAGCAACUCCUGGCUAUCCAAUCCCUCCAAGGAGUCUUCAGUGUUGGAGUCAGAUAGAGCAUCAUGCUGGGCAAGCCUGUGACGAAGGUCUUGGGUACCCUUCAUCACUUAAGAUCCCUGAAACAAGAAUGAAGAGGUUGAGGGCACCUGGGCAUAAACUAAACUAGGUGGCUGUUCCCAAUCACAGGAUUUUCACACAUACAUAUGGGUCACUUGGACACCCAAGAAAGAAAGCAACUAUUCAUCCCUGUGUGUGUUACUUCUGCUGACAACGGGGCUAUUUUCACCUUGUACUUUGAAAAAGGAAUCAACUCACCCUUUGUCCGUUUAGCUUCUUACCAUGUAACACUACAGCACCAAACCCUGUCCUGUCAACCUGAAGUGUAGCUCCUCUGGCAAUGAAGCUCUCCUGGGAAGCAGAGGACCAAACUGAAGUACAAGCUGUUUACUCCAGCUGUGGGUUUUCAUUCGCCUCUCUGUAGAGAUGAUGGAGGCAAACCCAUGUGACAGGAAUAGGCCAUUUCCGGUACUACACCAAAUCAGAAUGUAUAGGAAGUAUGUUGCAAGAAAGGCAUAUUUCUAUGGUUUUCACUUAGGAUAGAACAAGAUUCUGCUGAAAAGUGUUCCUAGAGGGCAAGAAGUUUUACUUUGGUGCCUCAACUGUAACUUCCUGUCCCUACUUCACUUAAGUGUAAUUGUGCCCACAUAUGUACUAUACAUUUAAAGCACCAUUAUACCACUUUAACAGUGAUGGGUUCUCCCCCCAAAAUCCUGUGAAUCCCUAAUCCCCCUCACAGAGAUACAAUUUUCAGAGUGGUUUAACAAUAUUUUUUUCUUCCCAAAGAACUCUGGGAAUUGUACCUCUGUCAGGGGAAUAAUGGUCUCCUAACAACUAUCAGCACCCUUAAAAAACAGCUCCCAGGAUUAUUUUUUUGGGGGAGGGGGGAGAAGCCAUGACUGUUAAAGUGGAAUAAUAAUGCUUUAAAUGUAUGAUGCAUAUGUGGCCUUUGACUGGGAAGAAGCCUACUCCAGUGUCUUUACUGCAUGUGAAAUACAAGAAUGUUACAUACAGGAUGCACAUUAUUCAGUUUUGGCACUCACUUUGGAUAGACUUAAAAAAAAGAUUCUGAUGCUUUUGAUGCGCAUUUAUAUUCUAAAACAGAGAUAAUACAGAAAUGUUUGUGUUUGCUU